rnacentral:ncRNA from 2 species
CACCCGGCCCUAAGGGAAGGCGUCGAGGAUUGAAGAAGCCGGUGCAAUUCCGGCGCGGUCGCGCCACUGUAAUCGAACGGGAACUUCCCCGUCGAGAGCCAGACCUUCCGCCUUGGCACAGA